rnacentral:rRNA from 1 species
UGAAUACGAGAUGCUACGGCGUCGAAGCAGUGUAUGUCAGACUUCCAAGAAAAGCUCGCAAUGUCAUAAAUAAAGAAUGCCUGUACCAUAACCGACACAGGUGGGUAGGUAGAGUAUACUAAGGGGCGCGAGAUAACUCUCUCUAAGGAACUCGGCAAAAUAACUCCGUAACUUCGGGAGAAGGAGUGCCUUCUUUAAGAAGGUUGCAAUAACAAGAUCCAAGCAACUGUUUAUCAAAAACACAGGUCUCCGCUAAGUCGUAAGACGAUGUAUGGGGGCUGACGCCUGCCCAGUGCCAAAAGGUUAAAGAAGUUGGUUAGCUUUUGCGAAGCUGAUGACUGAAGCCCUGGUGAACGGCGGCCGUAACGAUAACGGUCCUAAGGUAGCGAAAUUCCUUGUCGGGUAAGUUCCGACCCGCACGAAAGGCGUAAUGAUUUGGAUACUGUCUCGGAGAGGGACUCGGUGAAAUAGACUUGUCUGUGAAGAUGCGGACUACCUGCACCAGGACAGAAAGACCCUAUGAAGCUUUACUGUAACUUGAAAUUGAAAUUGGACUUUAUUUGCGCAGUAUAGGUGGAAGGCGUUGAAAGUAAUCUUGCGGGAUUAGUGGAGCCAUCAGUGAGAUACCACUCCUAUAAUGUUAGAUUUCUAACUUUGGAUCAUGAUCUGGUCAAAGAACAGUUUCAGGCGGGCAGUUUGACUGGGGCGGUCGCCUCCCAAAUGGUAACGGAGGCGUACAAAGGUUUCCUCUGAACGGGUAGAAAUCGUAUCUAGAGUGUAAAGGCAUAAGGAAGCUUGACUGUGAGACCUACAAGUCGAGCAGGGACGAAAGUCGGUCUUAGUGAUCUGACGGUGCUGAGUGGAAAGGCCGUCACUCAACGGAUAAAAGUUACUCUAGGAUAACAGGCUGAUCUCCCCCAAGAGUUCACAUCGACGGGGAGGUUUGGCACCUCGAUGUCGGCUCAUCGCAUCCUGGGGCGGUAGUACGUCCCAAGGGUUGGGCUGUUCGCCCAUGAAAGCGGUACGCGAGCUGGGUUCAGAACGUCGUGAGACAGUUCGGUCCAUAUCCGGUGUAGGCGUUAGAAUAUUGAGAGGAGCCUUCUUUAGUACGAGAGGACCGAGAAGGACAUACCUCUGGUGUACCAGUUAUCGUGCCAACGGUAAACGCUGGGUAGCUAUGUAUGGAGAGGAUAACCGCUGAAAGCAUCUAAGUGGGAAGCCCACCUCAAGAUGAGUAUUCU